rnacentral:snRNA from 1 species
UGGGAAUGCAGCCCCAAUCG